rnacentral:rRNA from 1 species
AGAGUUUGAUCCUGGCUCAGGAUGAACGCUAGCGACAGGCUUAACACAUGCAAGUCGAGGGGCAGCGGGGGUGCAGGCUUGCCUGCACCUGCCGGCGACCGGCGCACGGGUGAGUAACACGUAUGGAACCUGCCCGCCACAGGGGGAUAACCCGGGGAAACCCGGCCUAAUACCCCAUGCCGCCCGGACCGGGCAUCCGGUCCGGGCGAAAGGAGUAAUCCGGUGGCGGCUGGGCAUGCGGCGCAUUAGCUUGACGGCGGGGUAACGGCCCACCGUGGCGACGAUGCGUAGGGGUUCUGAGAGGAAGGCCCCCCACACUGGAACUGAGACACGGUCCAGACUCCUACGGGAGGCAGCAGUGAGGAAUAUUGGUCAAUGGGCGGAAGCCUGAACCAGCCAAGUCGCGUGAGGGAAUAAGGCCCUACGGGUCGUAAACCUCUUUUGCCGGGGAGCAAGGGCGGGGACGUGUCCCGGCCCGGAGAGUACCCGGAGAAAAAGCAUCGGCUAACUCCGUGCCAGCAGCCGCGGUAAUACGGAGGAUGCGAGCGUUAUCCGGAUUUAUUGGGUUUAAAGGGUGCGUAGGCGGGCUUUUAAGUCAGCGGUAAAAAUUCGGGGCUCAACCCCGUCCGGCCGUUGAAACUGGGGGCCUUGAGUGGGCGAGAAGAAGGCGGAAUGCGUGGUGUAGCGGUGAAAUGCAUAGAUAUCACGCAGAACCCCGAUUGCGAAGGCAGCCUUCCGGCGCCCUACUGACGCUGAGGCACGAAAGUGCGGGGAUCGAACAGGAUUAGAUACCCUGGUAGUCCGCACAGUAAACGAUGGAUGCCAGCUGUCCGGGCCGAAUGGGGCCUGGGUGGCAAAGCGAAAGCGUUAAGCAUCCCACCUGGGGAGUACGCCGGCAACGGUGAAACUCAAAGGAAUUGACGGGGGCCCGCACAAGCGGAGGAACAUGUGGUUUAAUUCGAUGAUACGCGAGGAACCUUACCCGGGCUCAAACGCGUCAGGGAUCCCCUUCGAAAGGAGGGGAGUCAGCAAUGACCUGGCGCGAGGUGCUGCAUGGUUGUCGUCAGCUCGUGCCGUGAGGUGUCGGCUUAAGUGCCAUAACGAGCGCAACCCCUACCGACAGUUGCUAACUGGUGAAGCCGAGGACUCUGUCGGGACUGCCGGCGCAAGCCGCGAGGAAGGCGGGGAUGACGUCAAAUCAGCACGGCCCUUACGUCCGGGGCGACACACGUGUUACAAUGGCCGGUACAGCGGGAAGCCAGGCGGCGACGCCGAGCGGAACCCGAAAACCGGUCUCAGUUCGGAUCGGAGUCUGCAACCCGACUCCGUGAAGCUGGAUUCGCUAGUAAUCGCGCAUCAGCCAUGGCGCGGUGAAUACGUUCCCGGGCCUUGCACACACCGCCCGUCA